rnacentral:rRNA from 1 species
GACGAACGCUGGCGGCGUGCUUAACACAUGCAAGUCGAACGAAGUGGCGAACGGGUGAGUAACGCGUAAUCAACCUGCUCUUCAGCGGGGGACAACAGUUGGAAACGACUGCUAAUACCGCAAACUGAAGGAGGGGAUUGUGUCUGAUCAGCUAGGUGGAGGGGUAACGGCCCACCAAGCCGAUGCUCAGUAGCCCGUCUGAGAGGAUGAACGGCCACAUUGGGACUGAGACACGGCCCAGACUCCUACGGGAGGCAGCAGUGGGGAAACUUCCGAAAUGGAAGAAAGUCUGAAGGAGCAACGCCGCGUGAGUGAUGACGGCCUUCGGGUUGUAAAGCUCUGUUAAUCGGGACGCGGUACCGGAAUAGAAAGCCACGGCUAACUACGUGCCAGCAGCCGCGGUAAUAC